rfam:Gossypium hirsutum cultivar TM-1 unplaced genomic scaffold scaffold2838.1, whole genome shotgun sequence
UGUUAAAAAUUUUAUCCAUUUGUACUAAUAAAAAUUGGCAUGGCUGAUAGAAAAAUUAGACAAUCAUGUUGUGUUGAUAUAUUGGGACUGGUUUUUAACGGUAGAAAUAGAUAAAAUUUUUAACA